rnacentral:rRNA from 1 species
AUUGAACGCUGCCGGCAGGCCUAACACAUGCAAGUCGAGCGAGCGGCGGACGGGUGAGGAAUGUAUGGGGACUGCCCGAUAGAGGGGGAUAACUACUGGAAACGGUGGCUAAUACCGCAUACUCUCGGAUAACCCAUAUGGGAUUAGCUGGUAGGUGGGGUAAAGGCUCACCUAGGCGACGAUCUCUAGCUGGUCUGAGCGGAUGAUCAGCCACACUCGGACUGAGACACGGCCCAGAUUCCUACGGAGGCAGAAGUGGGGAAUUUUGCACAAUGGGCGCAAGCCUGAUGCAGCCAGGCCGGGUGUAUGAAGAAGGCCGUAGGGUUGUGAAGUACUUUCAGCGAGGAGGCGUUACUCGCAGAAGAAGCACCGGCUAACUCCAUGCCAGCAGCCGCGGUAAUAC